GUUCAACUGACAGAUAGAUCACAGUUAAAAAGGGAACCUGUACUGACAAAAUUUCUUUGAAACCCCAACACAUGAAAAUAUAUACGUGAGACAAGGCAAGGACUAACUCAGACAUGUCAAAUUAUUUUGUUCAGGAUGGCCAAACUGUCCACUGAAAGAGAUAUGGAGAGUCGGAUGCAUAAUAUUUAUGUAAACAAACAUGCACAAACAAGAAAAAGAACAAAG